CGCGGCCUAUCAGCUUGUUGGUGAGGUAAUGGCUCACCAAGGCUUCGACGGGUAGCCGGCCUGAGAGGGCGACCGGCCACACUGGGACUGAGAUACGGCCCAGACUCCUACGGGAGGCAGCAGUGGGGAAUAUUGCACAAUGGGCGGAAGCCUGAUGCAGCAACGCCGCGUGCGGGAUGACGGCCUUCGGGUUGUAAACCGCUUUCAGUAGGGACGAGGGGUGACUGACGGUACCUACAGAAGAAGGACCGGCUAACUACGUGCCAGCAGCCGCGGUGAUACGUAGGGUCCGAGCGUUGUCCGGAAUUAUUGGGCGUAAAGGGCUUGUAGGCGGUUCGUCGCGUCAGGAGUGAAAACUCAGGGCUUAACCCUGAGCCUGCUUUUGAUACGGGCGGACUAGAGGGAUGCAGGGGAGAACGGAAUUCCUGGUGGAGCGGUGGAAUGCGCAGAUAUCAGGAGGAACACCGGUGGCGAAGGCGGUUCUCUGGGCAUUACCUGACGCUGAGAAGCGAAAGCGUGGGGAGCAAACAGGCUUAGAUACCCUGGUAGUCCACGCCGUAAACGGUGGGCACUAGGUGUGGGGGACAUUCCACGUUCUCCGUGCCGAAGCUAACGCAUUAAGUGCCCCGCCUGGGGAGUACGG
rnacentral:rRNA from 1 species